rnacentral:lncRNA from 1 species
AGGCUAUUAGUCAUGCUACAUCCAAAAUGGCACCCUAUUCCCAAUAAAAUGCACUACUUUUCACCAGAGCCGUAUGGGCCCUGGUCAAACGGAGUGUACUAUAUAACGAAUAGGGUGCGGUUUAGAACGCUAAACAGUCAUGGUCUACUGCAGGUCAGCCUAAUUAUUUAUAUUAUAAUUUUUAUUUUGCUAUAAAUUCUACAUCCUAAACGUUUAGAAACAUCUCAUUCUUGAUUCUACCACCUUUGAAUUGAUCGGAUCUCUGAAUGAGAGUGUAAUUUCCCCUCUUAGUUUAAUUGCAGGGUUAAAGUAAACCUGUAAUUCCCUGUGUCCAGGGCAACAUAAUAAAACACAGGGAAAGACUUGUGAGGACAGCCACUAACUGAACAUGUUGUUGAUGAUGGUAGGAGACAGACAGGCACAGCCAGAAGUGUGUGUGUGGUGGGUGUGUCUGAGUGUGGUUAAGGUGAUUGGAGACUGGGAUGCUUUUAAAACCAAAGGGCUCCCUUCUGGAGAGGCCCACAGGUCUGCCUCUCAGUGUGGUUAAUGAAGACGUCACAGAAUGUCGGUUAGGCUACACCCCCCCCCCCACAUUGACUGCAAGGCCAGCCGGGAAUCCACACUGGAUAUUGCUCCACUUUCCAAAUCCAAACUAAACAUAGCUCCGAUUUAAACAGUGAAACAUAUUUAGUAUGGAUUCCAGGCUAGUUGACAUGUAGCAAACCAGUAAGGUCUAUUCAGAGGAGUUGAACCACUGACAGUUGGAGUCUAGUCUUGAGGGUGAUGUUUCACAGCUCAGUCUCUCUUGCAGAUAAUAUUGUGUUUCAUAGCUCUGGACCAACCAGGCGGCAGCGCUGUGUUCUAGUCAGACAUGGAUGGAGACCUCACGGAGCGUCCACUAGCAGGGCUGUUACUGAAGGACCAACCAGGAGACAGAGCUGUGUUCUAGUCAGACAUGGAUGGAGACCUCACGGAGCGUCCACUAGCAGGGCUGUUACUGA